CUUGAAACUGGGAGACUUGAGUGCAGGAGAGGAGAGUGGAAUUCCUAGUGUAGCGGUGAAAUGCGUAGAUAUUAGGAGGAACACCAGUUGCGAAGGCGGCUCUCUGGACUGUAACUGACGCUGAGGCACGAAAGCGUGGGGAGCAAACAGGAUUAGAUACCCUGGUAGUCCACGCUGUAAACGAUGAGUACUAGGUGUCGGGGGUUACCCCC
rnacentral:rRNA from 1 species